UGUGUGUGUGUAGCGUGUGUGUGUGUGUGUGUGUGUGUGUGGUGCCAGACACACAGCACUCAAGCUCUAGUGGCCAAUUGGCACUGCUGGAUGAAGAACAAAAAGAUUGUUAUAAGAAUACUGAAUGCUCCCAGGCAGAAGCUGCAGAGAAGGGGUGGGGGGUGGGGUGGGGUGAUAGAGAGAGUGGGAAACAGAGGAGUAAAAGAAAGUUUAAAUGUAAGAAGUGUUUUUUGUUUUUUUGUUUUGUUAAAAGAACCAUGUAUCCAAAGUUACAUCACAACUGCAUGCGAACAGAGGAGCAAAGCGGCACAGAGGGAGAACAAGAGCAUGAGCUUGUGGGGGGACAUCAGGCUCGGGGUCUUGCCUCCGCAGCAUGGCGCCUAUUAAUCAUUCACAGGAAUCCCAGCAGCCACCACGCUGAAGUAUGGAUUCUCCCGCUAGUUCCUCGGCACACAUAGGCACUGACCCUCAUGGGCCCCAGUCCUGGGAGGACCAGGCCAACAUGCAACAUAUGGUCCUAAACCACUAACACUCUUGUCUGCUCUACCUCCCAGUGCACUGCAUGGCUAAGGCCUCUUACUAGCUGACCUCUGACCUUGGGGUAUGCUUUCUGUCCCUCUCUGGUCCCUCCUUCUUAUGAGUUAUUUUUCUUUCUUUCUUGUGUCACACUCCCUCUCUCCUCUUCUUACCCCCCCCCCCCCCCCCCUGUUCUUGCAAUCUUCAUCUGCUUCUUUUACAGUGCUUUUCUUUCUGUACUUCUUUCCUCUCCUUGUCUCUCUUCAUUCACUCCUCACAGAUGUGCUUUCUCCUGCGUUCUCUUGUCUUUGCGGUGUUUGACACACUAAGACUCCCCAGUCUCCGAUUAAAUGCAUUUAGAUGCCAUUGCGGUUUGGAUGUGACAACUUGUGAGACUAACGAUGGGGACGUGACAAACCUCAUGAACGCACGGCGUUGGACAGCUCAGGGGAACCGUCACGGCAAAAAAAAAACAUGCAAAACACCCCAAUUAGAGCUACCUCCUCUUGUGAUGCUCUUCCUCUCCCUCCUUCUCCUCCUCCUCCUCCUUCCCCUCUCCCGUCUUCCCAUCUUAAUCAGUUUUUUUUGUUUUCUUCCCCCCAGUUUCUUUCUUUCUAAAAAAGAUUCUUCUUUUCUUCUUCUCUUUUCCAUCUAAUGAUACGGGCUACACGAGCGCAAACAGCUCCUUGCUGUUCUUAUCUGUGCCGAGCAUCACAAAACCAUCUCGCUGCUAUUCUGGUCUUUUACUGUAGAUCAAUCUUUUUUUUAAAUCAAUAUUUAAUACGGGCGCAAAACCUGCGAGAUAUCCUUGUCCACUGCCCGUUGAAUUGGAAAUAAUGAAAUAAUAAAAGGCACCGGGAUUGUUAGAGACGAUUACGAACUCUGAGCCGCUUCUGAAAUCAAACUCCUGCAGCUCAUGAGAAGAAAAAAGAAAACACAAAGAUCAUGCGGAUCACCGGCUGCAUCCGGCAUUCGUCUCCUGGCGAAUUGUGCUCUUGCGGCCAGAAAGG
ensembl:lncRNA